GGUCGCUUAGUUCAGCUGGCUAGAACGCAUCUUUCACACGGAUGAGGUCGAGAGUUCGAGUCUCCCAGCGACCACCA
rnacentral:tRNA from 1 species